rnacentral:rRNA from 1 species
UACGAAGGUCCCAAGCGUUAUCCGGAUUUAUUGGGUUUAAAGGGUGCGUAGGCGGGCUAUUAAGUCAGUGGUGAAAGCCCCAAGCUUAACUUGGGAACUGCCAUUGAUACUGAUGGUCUUGAGUACAUUUGAGGUGGGCGGAAUGUGUCAUGUAGCGGUGAAAUGCUUAGAUAUGACACAGAACACCGAUUGCGAAGGCAGCUCACUAAGCUGUAACUGACGCUGAGGCACGAAAGCGUGUGGAGCAAACAGG